rnacentral:lncRNA from 1 species
UACAAACAGUGUGUGUGAUCUAACCACUUCUGCUUUUUCUCCCCUCAACCACCAUCAAGAGAAACAGUUGGUUGUCCACACACCCUGAGAAUACCAGUCAAACAAAAAAAAAACCGUUUGAACCACAGUAAAAUGAUGCUACUGCUGUGUACUGACUAGGGUAUUGUGUCCUCAGUCAGUUUCUGCAUUUCAUUUUUUUUGGGGGGGGGACGACGACGACGACGACGACGACGACUGCGUUAUCGCACAGCGUUAAAGAUGAGAUAGGCUCCUGUCCAAGGGGCUGUUCUGGCUCGGACAAGGCUACUAACUUACUUACAGAUGUAGGAUCUUCAUUUGAUCACUCUUUUGUUGCUGCUGAGAAUGUUCCCGCACUAACACAGGGCUGAGUGAUUGGUGGGCUAGGGUUUGGUUUUACAUACAGCAUACAGGGGUGAGUGAUUGGGGCGGCAGGUAGCCUAGUGGUUAGAGCGUUGGACUAGUAACCGAAAGGUUGCUAGAUCGAAUCCCCCGAGCUGACAAGGUAAAAAUCUGUCGUUCUGCCUCCUGAACAAGGCAGUUAACCCACUGUUCCCCGGUAGGCCAUCAUUGUAAACAAGAAUUUGUUCUUAACUGACUUGCCUAGUUAAAUAAAAGAAAAUGGUGGGUUUGGUUUUAUGUACAGGGCUGAGUGAAUGGUAGGUUAUAGAUGGGUUUGAUGUACAGGGCUGAGUGAAUGGUAGGUUAUAGUUGGGUUUUAUGUACAGGGCUGAGUGAAUGGUAGGUUAUAGAUGGGUUUUAUGUACAGGGCUGAGUGAAUGGUAGGUUAUAGAUGGGUUUUAUGUACAGGGCUGAGUGAGUAAGCCUAGUACAUUAGUGCAUUAGGCCACAGGGCUUUGUGACAUCUGAGUGACGUCUCUGGGGAACAGACACACAGACUCAGAAGGCAGCAAGCCACACACAUACACACACACGCAUGAACACACAGACACAAAGCAGCACACGGCACAGGACAAGAGGAAACACACACUAACAUCAAGAGUCCAUCUAAAGCAUGAAACAGGAAACACUAACAUCAAGAGUCCAUCUGAAGCACUAAACAGGAAAUACAAACGUCAAGAGUCCAUCUGAAACACUAAACAGGAAACACUAACAUCAAGAGUCCAUCUAAAACACUAAACAGGAAACACUAACAUCAAGAGUCCAUCUAAAACACUAAACAGGAAACACUAACAUCAAGAGUCCAUCUAAAGCACUAAACAGGAAACACUAACGUCAAGAGUCCAUCUGAAACACUAAACAGGAAACACUAACAUCAAGAGUCCAUCUGAAACACUAAACAGGAAACACUAACAUCAAGAGUCCAUCUGAAACACUAAACAGGAAACACUAACAUCAAGAGUCCAUCUAAAACACUAAACAGGAAACACUAACAUCAAGAGUCCAUCUAAAACACUAAACAGGAAACACUAACAUCAAGAGUCCAUCUGAAACACUAAACAGGAAACACUAACAUCAAGAGUCCAUCUAAAGCAAGAAAGCAAUUUGGUUCAUGUUUUUUUGCAUUUUUUGUAAGUUGUUUUGUACAUAAUGUUGCUGCCACCGUCUCUUAUGACCGAAAAUAACUUCUGGAUAUCAGAACAACGAUUACUUACCUCGAACUGGACAAAGAUAUUUUCUUUAAUGAGUCCGACACGAAGGAUAUACUGCUUCCCUGAGACCAGGCCCAAAUCCCAGUCAUUCGCGUGAAGAAAAGACGGAUAUACAAGGGGCGAAGUUCAGGGUGCCUUGUGAGAAUUCGUAGGCGAGUGAGUAAAUCACCACUACCAUCGGUUCUAUUGGCCAAUCACUGGAGAAUAAACUGGAUGAUCUACGGUCGAGACUAUCCUGUCAAUGGGACAUUAAAAACUGUAAUAUCUUGGCUGAACGACGACACAGGAUAGGGAUUCCAGUGCAUCGGCAGGAGAGAACUGCUACGUCUGGUAAGACGAGGGGCAGGGAUGUGUGUCUGUUUGUCAAUAGCAGCUGGUGCUGGGGUUUUCUCCAACAUGAGCUGUAUUACUCACUGUCUCUGCUCUCUCUCUCUCUCUCUCUCUCGCUUUCUAACCUGCUCUCUC